rnacentral:rRNA from 1 species
AUGGAGCUCGUCGGGAGUUGGAGGAAGGUGAUGCCUUACAUGGCCAUGGUCUUCCUGCAGUUCGGCUACGCCGGGCUCUUCCUCCUCUCCGUCGCGUCGCUGCGCCAGGGCAUGAGCCACUACGUCCUCGUCGUCUACCGGAACGCCAUCGCCGCCGCUGCCAUGGCUCCCUUCGCGCUAUGGUUUGAGAGGAAAACAAGGCGCAAAAUGACCCUCUCCCUGUUCUACAAGAUCGUUGCUCUGGCACUACUCGAGCCAGUCCUUGACCAGAACUUCUUCUACAUAGGAGCCCGUAACACGUCGGCGAGCUUCUCUUCGGCACUCACCAACGUAUUGCCUGCCGUAACAUUUGUAAAUGCCAUCCUGAUCAGGAUCGAGAGAAUAAACAUCAAGGAGCGGCGGAGCCAGGCGAAGAUCGCCGGCACGGUGAUCACAGUCGGCGGAGCGCUGCUCAUGGUACUCUUCCGCGGCCCUGUCCUCAACUUCCCAUGGACCAAGCAUGCCGGAAGCCACGUCGUUGCCGACACGGCCAACCACAGCAGCGGUUGCUGGCUCUUGGGCAUCGUCAUGAUCCUGUUGAGCAGCUUCUGCUGGUCCGCCUUCUUCAUACUCCAGUCGCACACGUUGAGGAGUUACCCGUCCGAGCUCUCCCUGACCACGAUGAUAUGCGUCAUGGGCGUCGUGCAGAGCGGCGUGGUUGCGCUGGUGAUGGAGCGUGACACCAAGGCUUGGGCAAUUGGAUUCGAUAUGAGGCUCGUCACGGCCGCCUACUCCGGCAUAAUGUGUUCAGGGGUUGCUUAUUAUUUGCAAGGGAUAGUUAUCCAAGAACGGGGGCCAGUGUUUGUCACUGCCUUUUGCCCUCUCUGCAUGAUCAUAGUGACUGUGCUAGGCUCCUUCAUUCUUUCCGAGGUGAUCACAUUGGGAAGGAUCACCGGUGCAAUGAUUAUUGUUGUUGGUCUCUAUGCUCUCAUCUGGGGCAAGAGCAAAGACCAUGUGAAUCAAGUUGAGCGCAAUGACAAUUUUGAAAAGCACAACUCUUUUGAGCUACCGUUUACUACCACCACCAUUACCAAAGCAAGCAACCUUGAUAUGACAAUCACCGUGGCUGCAUGCAGCAACGAAAGCCCCAUGGAGAAUCAACUUACAAAGUGA